UACGUAGGGGGCGAGCGUUGUCCGGAUUUAUUGGGCGUAAAGAGCUCGUAGGCGGUUCGAUAAGUCGGAUGUGAAAUCUCCACGCUCAACGUGGAGAGGCCAUUCGAUACUGUCGUGACUCGAGUCCGGUAGGGGAGUGUGGAAUUCCUGGUGUAGCGGUGAAAUGACGCAGAUAUCAGGAGGAACACCGGUGGCGAAGGCGGGUCUCUGGGCCGAUACUGACGCUGAGGAGCGAAAGCGUGGGGAGCGAACAGG
rnacentral:rRNA from 1 species